rnacentral:rRNA from 1 species
AACGCUAGCUACAGGCUUAACACAUGCAAGUCGAGGGGCAGCACUAGGUAGCAAUACUGAGGUGGCGACCGGCGCACGGGUGCGUAACGCGUAUCCAACCUUCCCGUUACUCAGGGAUAGCCUUCCGAAAGGGAGAUUAAUACCUGAUGGUGUUUGAAUUCCGCAUGUUAUUCAAACUAAAGAUUUAUCGGUAACGGAUGGGGAUGCGUGACAUUAGGUAGAUGGCGGGGUAACGGCCCACCAUGCCUACGAUGUCUAGGGGUUCUGAGAGGAAGGUCCCCCACACUGGAACUGAGACACGGUCCAGACUCCUACGGGAGGCAGCAGUGAGGAAUAUUGGUCAAUGGUCGGAAGACUGAACCAGCCAAGUAGCGUGAAGGAUGAAGGUUCUAUGGAUUGUAAACUUCUUUUAUACGGGAAUAAAACCUCCCACGUGUGGGAGCUUGUAUGUACCGUAUGAAUAAGCAUCGGCUAACUCCGUGCCAGCAGCCGCGGUAAUACGGAGGAUGCGAGCGUUAUCCGGAUUUAUUGGGUUUAAAGGGAGCGUAGACGGGAGAUUAAGUCAGUUGUGAAAGGCUGCGGCUCAACCGCAGCACUGCAGUUGAUACUGGUUUCCUUGAGUGCGGUUGAGGUGUAUGGAAUUCGUGGUGUAGCGGUGAAAUGCUUAGAUAUCACGAAGAACUCCGAUUG